GAACGUCUUCGUGUGGGUCCCAGGAGUUGCUCCCUCUGACGAAGACGUUCCACAUCUCGUUCAAGUUGAGAAUUGACUUCCUUCAGCUGAUCCAAUGUCUCUCUGCCGCUCUUCACAGUUCGUUCGGACUUCUUCAGCUCCUCACUUUUGCUUAUAAGAUCGACAUGCUGGACUGGUAGCCGAGGAUCACCCACAGCCUUUUCAGUCUCUUCAAGUAAUUGAACAGGAGUUAACUUUGCAAACUCACAAACCCUGUCUUGAGGCAGAAAUUGAGUCAAAUUGUUGACUUGGAUAUUGAACCUUUGAAUCAUAUCAGUUACGUUCUUCUUUGGCACAGCUUUUCCAUUAAAAAUCCACUCAGACUUGUUCCGCGUAUCUAUUUUUCGCAAAAUAGUUAACUGGUCCUCUUUGGUUUCCCCUCUCAAGGAAAUCUUGAUGUAACCUGAUUCUUCCCCGCGUUUCACAAAUGCUCCAAUACUAGAAGCCCUCCCCAAAAGCUGAGGCUCACCACCAAGGCCGAGUGCUAUUGCACAAACUAGAGAACUCUUUCCAGAGCCAUUUGGUCCAAUUACAAGAUUUAAUCGGGAGCCUGGUUUGCAUGUCAACUUGCUGAAUGUCAUGAAGUUAUGAAGCUCAA
rnacentral:misc_RNA from 1 species